ACAUGAGUAGCGACAAAGAGUGUGAGAGACACUCUCGCCGAAAGUCCAAGGGUUCCUGCUUAAAGCUAAUCUGAGCAGGGUAAGCCGGCCCCUAAGCCGAGGCCGAAAGGCGUAGGCGAUGGGAACCACGUUAAUAUUCGUGGGCCAGAUGGAAGUGACGGAUCUCGAAGAUUGUUCCUCCUUAUCGGAUUGGAGGGGCCGUUCAGAGGUUCCUGGAAAUAGCUCCAUCAUCAGACCGUACCCUAAACCGACACAGGUGGACUGGUAGAGAAUACCAAGGCGCUUGAGAGAACGAUGUUGAAGGAACUCGGCAAAAUACCUCCGUAAGUUCGCGAGAAGGAGGCCCGGUUCCUAGGCAACUAGGGGCUGGGGGCACAAACCAGGGGGUGGCGACUGUUUACUAAAAACACAGGGCUCUGCGAAGUCGCAAGACGACGUAUAGGGUCUGACGCCUGCCCGGUGCCUGAAGGUUAAAAGGAGGGGUGAGAGCUCUGAAUUGAAGCCCAGGUAAACGGCGGCCGUAACAAUAACGGUCCUAAGGUAGCGAAAUUCCUUGUCGGGUAAGUUCCGACCUGCACGAAUGGCGUAACGACUUCCCCGCUGUCUCCAACAUCGACUCAGCGAAAUUGAAUUGCCUGUCAAGAUGCAGGCUUCCCGCGGUUAGACGGAAAGACCCCGUGCACCUUUACUACAGCUUCAGAGUGGUAUUAGGGCAGACAUGUGUAGCAUAGGUGGGAGGCUUUGAAGCAGGGACGCCAGUCCUUGUGGAGCCGACCUGUGAAAUACCACCCUUGUCUUCUCUGAUAUCUAACCACGUCCCGUGAAACCGGGACUGGGACCCUCUGUGGUGGGUAGUUUGACUGGGGCGGUCGCCUCCCAAAUCGUAACGGAGGCGCGCGAAGGUAGGCUCAGACCGGUUGGAAAUCGGUCGUUGAGUGCAAAGGCAUAAGCCUGCCUGACUGCGAGACUGACAAGUCGAGCAGAGACGAAAGUCGGCCUUAGUGAUCCGACGGUUCCGAGUGGAAGGGCCGUCGCUCAACGGAUAAAAGUUACUCUAGGGAUAACAGGCUGAUCUCCCCCAAGAGUUCAUAUCGACGGGGAGGUUUGGCACCUCGAUGUCGGCUCAUCGCAUCCUGGGGCGGUAGUACGUCCCAAGGGUUGGGCUGUUCGCCCAUGAAAGCGGUACGCGAGCUGGGUUCAGAACGUCGUGAGACAGUUCGGUCCCUAUCUGCCGUGGGUGUAGGAUACUUGAGAGGAGUUGCCCCUAGUACGAGAGGACCGGGGUGAACGAUCCACUGGUGGACCUGUUGUGGCGCCAGCCGCAGUGCAGGGUAGCUAUGAUCGGAAAGGAUAACCGCUGAAGGCAUCUAAGCGGGAAGCCCCCCUCAAAACAAGGUAUCCCUGAGGGCCGUGGUAGACCACCACGUCGAUAGGCCGGAGGUGUAAGCGCAGCAAUGCGUUCAGCUGACCGGUAC
rnacentral:rRNA from 1 species